GCCCGCACAAGCGGUGGAGCAUGUGGUUUAAUUCGACGCAACGCGCAGAACCUUACCAGCCCUUGACAUACCCGUCGCGGGGACCAGAGAUGGACCCCUUCAGCUCGGCUGGACGGGAUACAGGUGCUGCAUGGCUGUCGUCAGCUCGUGUCGUGAGAUGUUGGGUUAAGUCCCGCAACGAGCGCAACCCUCGCCUUCAGUUGCCAGCGGUACGGCCGGGCACUCUGAAGGAACUGCCGGUGAUAAGCCGGAGGAAGGUGGGGAUGACGUCAAGUCCUCAUGGCCCUUACGGGCUGGGCUACACACGUGCUACAAUGGCGGUGACAGUGGGCGGCGAAGGGGCAACCCGGAGCUAAUCUCCAAAAACCGUCUCAGUUCGGAUUGCACUCUGCAACUCGAGUGCAUGAAGUCGGAAUCGCUAGUAAUCGUGGAUCAGCAUGCCACGGUG
rnacentral:rRNA from 1 species